AGAGCGCAAGGGGAAUGCCUUGGCAUCAAGAGCCGAUGAAGGACGUGACAAGCUGCGAUAAGCUGCGGGGAGCUGCACAUAAGCAUUGAUCCGCAGAUUUCCGAAUGGGGAAACCCGUCAGAGCAAUACUCUGACAACGUGCAUUGAACAAAAUAGGUGUACGUGGGGAACCGCCUGAACUGAAACAUCUAAGUAGGGCGAGGAAGAGAAAUCAAAAGAGAUUCCGCUAGUAGUGGCGAGCGAACGCGGAAGAGGGCAAACCGGAGGAUUUAUCCUCCGGGGUUGAGGACCGACGCACGAUACAAUAGGUUAGCUGAACGGCAUGGGAAGGCCGACCAGAGCGGGUGAUAGUCCCGUAAGUGAAAACCGAUUUGUGUCAGUUGGGAUCCAGAGUACCGCAGGACACGUGAAACCCUGUGGGAAACUGGGGGGACCACCCUCCAACCCUAAAUACUACUUGAUGACCGAUAGAGGAGCAGUACCGUGAGGGAAAGGUGAAAAGGACCCCGGGAGGGGAGUGAAAGAGAACCUGAAACCUUGUGCUUACAAGCACUCAAAGCCCGUUAAAGGGUGAUGAGGUACUUUUUGUAGAACGGUCCGGCGAGUUAUUGUAUGUAGCAAGCUUAAGGUAUUCAGUACCGGAGGCGAAGCGAGAGCGAGUCUGAACAGGGCGAAAUGAAGUUGCAUGCAAUAGACCCGAAACCAGGUGACCUAUCCAUGAGCAGGUUGAAGUGGAGGUAAAACUCCAUGGAGGACCGAACGCACGUUCGUUGCAAUGACCGGCGAUGACCUGUGGAUAGCGGUGAAAUUCCAAUCGAACCCGGAGAUAGCUGGUUCUCCCCGAAAUAGCUUUAGGGCUAGCGUUAUGUUAGAUUACCGGAGGUAAAGCACUGAAUGGGCUAGGGGCUGAUAAAGUUACUGAACCCUAUCAAACUCAGAAUGCCGGAUAAUUGAUGGUCAGCAGUCAGACUACGUGAGAUAAGUCUCGUGGUCAAAAGGGAAACAGCCCAGACCUACAGCUAAGGUCCCAAAUAUACGCUAAGUGGAAAACGAUGUGGAAUUGCGAAAACAACCAGGAUGUUGGCUUAGAAGCAGCCACUCAUUAAAAGAGUGCGUAAUAGCUCACUGGUCGAGUGACUCUGCGCGGAAAAUGUAACGGGGCUAAGCGUAUAACCGAAGCUUAGGAUGCAGCAAUGCGUGGUAGGGGAGCGUCGAAUACGGGGCGAAGUCGCAGCGGAAGCAGCGGUGGACUGUAUUCGAGUGAGAAUGCCGGAAUGAGUAGCGAGAAUUAUGUGGGAAUCAUAAUGGCCGAAAAUCUAAGGUUUCUUGGGGAAGGUUCGUCCGCCCAAGGUAAGCCGGGAGCUAAGGCGAGGCCGAGAGGCGUAGUCGAUGCACAUACGGUUGAAAUUCCGUAGCCACCGAAAUUUAAACUAGAGGGACACUUGAAACUAUCUGGACCCGGGCGUUGGUUGACCCGGGCGAAAGGGACCGAAAUCAAGUAGGGAAGUCAGAGAACGUCGAGGCGAGAAAAGCUCUAGUGUAUAAUAAGGUGCCCGUACCGCAAACCGACACAGGUAGAUGAGGAGAGGAUCCUAAGGCCAACGGGAGAAGGGUUGUUAAGGAACUCGGCAAAAUGACCCCGUAACUUCGGGAUAAGGGGAGCUCCCUAAGGGGAGCCGCAGAGAAUAGGCCCAAGCGACUGUUUACCAAAAACACAGGUCUAUGCUAAAUCGAAAGAUGACGUAUAUGGGCUGACGCCUGCCCGGUGCUGGAAGGUUAAGAGGAGAUGUCAGGCAACGAAGCAUUGAAUCGAAGCCCCAGUAAACGGCGGCCGUAACUAUAACGGUCCUAAGGUAGCGAAAUUCCUUGUCAGGUAAGUUCUGACCCGCACGAAUGGCGUAACGAUUUGGGCGCUGUCUCAACAGCCCACCCGGCGAAAUUGUAGUACUGGUGAAGAUGCCAGUUACCCGCAACUAGACGGAAAGACCCCAUGGAGCUUUACUGCAGCUUAAUACUGGAAUUCGGUAAUUCAUGUACAGGAUAGGUGGGAGACUGGGAACUACUGUCGUCAGGCAGUAGGGAGUCGCCCUUGGGAUACCACUCUUGAAUUGCUGGGUUUCUAACCUGCGGCCGUGAAUCCGGUCGGGGGACACUGUUAGGCAGACAGUUUGACUGGGGCGGUCGCCUCCUAAAAGGUAACGGAGGCGCUCAAAGGUUGGCUCAGC
rnacentral:rRNA from 1 species